UACGUAGGGCGCAAGCGUUAUCCGGAAUUAUUGGGCGUAAAGAGCUCGUAGGCGGUUUGUCGCGUCUGCCGUGAAAGUCCGGGGCUUAACCCCGGAUCUGCGGUGGGUACGGGCAGACUAGAGUGCAGUAGGGGAGACUGGAAUUCCUGGUGUAGCGGUGAAAUGCGCAGAUAUCAGGAGGAACACCGAUUGCGAAGGCAGGUCUCUGGGCUGUAACUGACGCUGAGGAGCGAAAGCAUGGGGAGCGAACAGG
rnacentral:rRNA from 1 species